AUUUUGGAUCUAAUAUUAUGUUGAUUGAAAAGAAUCCAUAAGGCAAAGGAUUAACGAAAAGGGUGCGUUCGAACGCCGAAGAAGCAUAUAUGUCCUUGCGCUUAUUUGUCUAAUUUUUUUUUUAGCGAAGACACGUUACAAGCUCGAAAGUAUCCAGAACGAUUUCCCAAUUUUUUUUUCCCCCGAAAAAAAUUCUACGUGCUGAAUUCACGUCGAUAAUUUGACAUUUAUAACAUUUAUAAUUGAAAAUCAUAGAAUUUUCAAACAUUUUCAAAUCCUGAUUCAUCACAAGAUUUUGUUUAUUAUUAUUUCGAGAACGUUUGCACCAUUUUUUCUCCGGAUAAAUAUGAACUUUACGUGCAGAAUUUUCCCCUUAUCUUGUUUUUGUGAAAAGGAAAAAAGAAAAA